UACGUAGGUGGCAAGCGUUGUCCGGAAUUAUUGGGCGUAAAGCGCGCGCAGGCGGCCUCUUAAGUCUGAUGUGAAAGCCCCCGGCUCAACCCGGGGAGGGCCAUUGGAAACUGGGAGGCUUGAGUAUAGGAGAGAAGAGUGGAAUUCCACGUGUAGCGGUGAAAUGCGUAGAGGAUGUGGAGGAACACCAGUGGCGAAGGCGACUCUUUGGCCUAUAACUGACGCUGAGGCGCGAAAGCGUGGGGAGCAAACAGG
rnacentral:rRNA from 1 species